rnacentral:rRNA from 1 species
GACGAACGCUGGCGGCGUGCUUAACACAUGCAAGUCGAACGCUGAAGCUCAGCUUGCUGGGUGGAUGAGUGGCGAACGGGUGAGUAACACGUGAGUAACCUGCCCUCUUCUUUGGGAUAACGCCCGGAAACGGGUGCUAAUACUGGAUAUUCACUGAUCCUCGCAUGGGGGUUGGUGGAAAGGUUUUUUCUGGUGGGGGAUGGGGUCGCGGCCUAUCAGCUUGUUGGUGGGGUGGUGGCCUACCAAGGCUUUGCCGGGUAGCCGGCCUGGGAGGGUGGCCGGGGAGGUUGGGAGGGAGAUACGGGCCAGAGAGAUACGGGAGGCAGCAGUGGGGAAUAGUGCACAAUGGGAGAAAGCAUGAUGCAGCGACGUGGCGUGAGGGAGGGGGGCCUGCGGGUUGUAAACCUCUUUCGCUAAGGGUCAAGCCGCAGCGUGGGGUUGUGGUGAGGGUAGUGGGUAAAGAAGCGCCGGCUAACUACGUG